GACGAACGCUGGCGGCGUGCUUAACACAUGCAAGUCGAACGGAAAGGCCCUGCUUUUGUGGGGUGCUCGAGUGGCGAACGCGUGAGUAACACGUGAGUAACCUGCCCUUGACUUUGGGAUAACUUCAGGAAACUGGGGCUAAUACCGGAUAGGAGCUCCUGCUGCAUGGUGGGGGUUGGAACGUUUCGGCGGUUGGGGAUGGACUGGCGGCUUAUCAGCUUGUUGGUUGGGUAGUGGCUUACCAAGGCUUUGACGGGUAGCCGGCCUGAGAGGGUGACCGGCGACAUGGGUACUGAGAGACGGCGCAGAGUCCUACGGGAGGCAGCAGUGGGGAAUAUUGCACAAUGGGCGGAAGCCUGAGGCAGCAACGCCGCGUGCGGGAUGACGGCCUUUGGGUUGUAAACCGCUUUCGCCUGUGACGAAGCGGGAGUGACGGUAAUGGGUAAAGAAGCACCGGCUAACUACGUG
rnacentral:rRNA from 1 species